AACGAACGCUGGCGGCAUGCCUAACACAUGCAAGUCGAACGGGAUCCGGACUUCGGUCCGGUGAGAGUGGCGGACGGGUGAGUAACACGUGGGAACCUGCCUUUUGGUUCGGGAUAACCGCGGGAAACUGCGGCUAAUACCGGAUGCUCCCGAGAGGGAAAAGAUUUAUCGCCAGAAGAGGGGCCCGCGUCCGAUUAGGUAGUUGGUGGGGUAAUGGCCUACCAAGCCGACGAUCGGUAGCUGGUCUGAGAGGAUGAUCAGCCACACUGGGACUGAGAUACGGCCCAGACUCCUACGGGAGGCAGCAGUGGGGAAUAUUGGACAAUGGGCGAAAGCCUGAUCCAGCAAUGCCGCGUGAGUGAUGAAGGCCUUAGGGUUGUAAAGCUCUUUUACCAGGGAUGAUAAUGACAGUACCUGGAGAAUAAGCUCAGGCUAACUCCGUGCCAGCAGCCGCGGUAAU
rnacentral:rRNA from 1 species